AAAGGGUUCUUCUUGAUCGAAAGAACAUGUCGCCAUUUGACUUUGUAAAAUAGCAGGAAAAGUUAAUAAGUUCCGGAAACAUGAGAUUCUCCUGUGCGCUUUAUUUAACCAUUGUUGUGGUUUCUUUGGAAGUGUUUGGCUCUGCAUUUGCAAGGCAUUUAAAUUCAGUACAUCGCACUAAAAGACGCUUGCAUUCGGAUUUUGUUCAAAAACACAUUGUUUUUGUCAGAGGUGAAAGAAAACCGUCAUAUAAUUUACUCAAAGGAAGACUGCCCAAAUUUACCAAUACUGAUAACAGACGUUUACAUACCUUCAUCGUGGUAACAAUAAAAAAUUCUGAGAAUGAGAAAAGAAAAGAAAAGUCGGUUUUAGAAAAUCUUGAUAUUUUAAUUAAGAAUAAGAUCAUGAAUGGAGGAUGCAAAGCCAGCCGUAGAGAAAAUGACCCGGCAGCUAAGCAAACUACUUUAAGAGUUAGACCAAACACCUAUAAAAAUUCGGAACAAACAACAAUCUCCAUUGAUGAUUAUUAUAAUUGUCCCAUACAAGUUGAAGAUCUCGGCAAAAACAUCUAUAUAGCCAAUUUCAACGUCCAAGACAAAAAUGAGCCCUGUAUGUAUUCGGAUAAGGGCCAGUUUACAGUGGGAGCUGGAAAAAUGACAGAGGUGGACACCAAAACAAAACAAAAGACAACAGAUUGGUUUCUGGCGAAUCACUUGGCUGAAUCACAGAUACAAAACGGUUCCGAGUGUGAUAACGACUGAGACUGGUUCUGAUGUUGCAGUUUUUAGUUUAGACACGUUUCGGUAGAUCAUCAUCUUUUCUCCAAGGAAACGUUAUUCAAUUAACUUACUCAUCUUGCAAGCACUUGUACCAACACUAGGCUAUCUGCCCAAAUUUCUCUCCCAUCAAAAGAGGAUCAGUUCUCAUAUUAUGAUUAUGCAUAUUCAAAUGCAUAUAAUUAUUGUCUUAUGUAACUUUCCAAGUCAUUACAUUGCAGAACAAACAGGACAAACAUUUUUUCUAAAAAUACGAAAUACAUGUAAGGUCAACAUUUAUAAAAACAUUGUUAAUUAUCUUUAUUUUUUUUAAAUUGAGUUGUUGAAGAGAUCAGUGCGAAUUUUAAAAAAAUGAUUCUGCAUAUUUAGUUUUAACCUUGAAUAUCACAUUUUGCAUGUCAUCGGUUUGUAUGUCUUUAAAUUUUGACAUUUUAGUCUUCUCAAGAACCAUUUCAUGUGGUACAAAGCAUUCUUAUUGCAAGAAGAUUCAAGUUUAUUCAGAGAGAUAAUUUGGAAUUAAUAAAAAUUAUUUUUCUGCAAAACCAUUAGGCAAGAAUAGUGAAACUUAUGUUGAAGCAUCAUCAGUUAGAGUAGAUUUAUUUUUAUUUUAAUCAUGAUAUCCUGGGGUAAGAUGAGGCCCGAAUUUUUAUUUUAAUCAUGAUAUCCCGGGGUGAGAUGAGGCCCGAAGGGGGGGGGGUAUAAUAUUUACACAGAUAUUUUUCAAAAUGUAGAUUCAAUUUCAAUUUUAAAACAUGUGUGGCAUUUUAAAUAAAAAAUAAUACAAACAUGGUCUGCUAAAUUUUUCAGAUAUGUUUGUUUUUAACCUGUUAAAGCUGCUUGGAUUAUCUGUCAGUUGAAUAAUGUUGCUGUGGCCCCUUGGCCUCUUGUUUGCUUGUUUUGCAUUUUAAAAGCAAUUAUUCCUGGUCACUUUGGAGUUAAGGUUUUUUGUUUUAAUUAAUACUCAAAUGUGAACACAUUCUCUAAAAUGUAUUACUUCAAAGAGAGGUGAACGACAUGCAUGUGUAAUUUACAAUGGUAAUUCUGUUUUACUGUUAAAGGUAAAGAAUAUUUACAUUUAAAUAUAACAUUCAAUGACUUUCUUGGUUAUUUAAGAUUAAUGAUCUUUUGUCUUCUGCCUGUAGCUGAAAAUAAAAAUUGCAAAAACGAG